GGCGGAGUAGCUCAGCUGGUUAGAGCAACGGGAUCAUAAUCCGUGUGCCGGGGGUUCGAGUCCCUCCUCCGCUACCA
rnacentral:tRNA from 1 species